CACAUGCAAGUCGAACGGUAACCGGUCUUCGGACGCUGACGAGUGGCGAACGGGUGAGUAAUACAUCGGAACGUGCCCAGUCGUGGGGGAUAGCUACUCGAAAGAGUAGCUAAUACCGCAUACGAUCUGAGGAUGAAAGCGGGGGACCUUCGGGCCUCGCGCGAUUGGAGCGGCCGAUGGCAGAUUAGGUAGUUGGUGGGAUAAAAGCUUACCAAGCCGACGAUCUGUAGCUGGUCUGAGAGGACGACCAGCCACACUGGGACUGAGACACGGCCCAGACUCCUACGGGAGGCAGCAGUGGGGAAUUUUGGACAAUGGGCGAAAGCCUGAUCCAGCAAUGCCGCGUGCAGGAUGAAGGCCUUCGGGUUGUAAACUGCUUUUGUACGGAACGAAAAAGCUCCUUCUAAUACAGGGGGCCCAUGACGGUACCGUAAGAAUAAGCACCGGCUAACUACGUGCCAGCAGCCGCGGUAAUACGUAGGGUGCGAGCGUUAAUCGGAAUUACUGGGCGUAAAGCGUGCGCAGGCGGUUAUGUAAGACAGAUGU
rnacentral:rRNA from 1 species